GAUCCUUCUUUGUGAAACCCUUAUUUUGAAUCUGAGCCCUUUCUCUCUCUCAACCAUUAUAUACGCACACAUCUCUUUCUCUGUCUGUCAGCGAUUAUUGAUAACUCUAGGAAGAGGCUUCGUCUCUCGAAAGAUCAAUCGGCUGUUCUUGAAGAGAGCUUCAAAGAACACAACACUCUCAAUCCUCUCCAUCUACACCGACGAUUUCGAAGAUUCAGAGUGAUUUCGAAGCCAUUUCGAAGAUUCAGAUCGAUUUCGAGAUUCAGAGCGAUUUCAAAGCUCCAUCGCCACCACCUCUGCCCCGGCGAGAGAUUCAGAGAUGCAGUGAUUUAGUGAUUUCAGAGCGAUUUUGAUUUCGAAGCUCCAUCCCCACCACCAUCUGCACCGGUGAUUUUGAUUUCACUAAGGUAAUUCUAUGGUUUUUUUUUUGAAGUGAUUAUCAACCAUCCUGGAUUCCUCGCUCUCAGAUUUGAUUCGCCCAAUUUCAAAGGUUGACGUUCACUUGUGAAGACCAUGUCUCAUCACCAAGUGGAUGAUGCUGAAUACAUGGCAGAUAAAUAUGAAAUGGAAGAUGUGGAUGAUGAUAUGGACGAAGAGUUUCGUGGAAGAGAGAUGGGUGGCUCAGAUUCUGAUGUGGAUGAAUAUGACUACUUGGUUUGUGAUAUAAACUUUAUAAAGUUUGAACCAUAGUUUGUUGUCAUGAUAUGCUAUCUAACUGCAAGUCUUACCACUUUUCUUUGUUUAUUUCUCUCCUAUUGGCAUGUUUUUUCUCUCUUUUUUUCAAGUAACUUUUAGAUGUUUUUUCCCAUCAAGCUCAGGAUAUAUGAAAUACUAACUGUUUGGUACCUAUUUGGAAUAAUAAAAUGGCAUAUACUUCUGCUGCUCAAGCUAGGAGAGGUAAAGAUAUCCAAAGAAUUCCUUGGGCGACAGUACUAUUUUAAUUACAUUUUACUAUAAGGCAUGCUGUGUGUUUUCACUCAUUUUAAUUGCAUUUGUAUUGGCAAUCUUCUACUAU